rnacentral:rRNA from 1 species
CCUACGGGUGGCAGCAGUGAGGAAUAUUGGUCAAUGGACGCAAGUCUGAACCAGCCAUGCCGCGUGCAGGAAGACGGCUCUAUGAGUUGUAAACUGCUUUUGUACGAGGGUAAACGCAGAUACGCGUAUCUGUCUGAAAGUAUCGUACGAAUAAGGAUCGGCUAACUCCGUGCCAGCAGCCGCGGUAAUACGGAGGAUUCAAGCGUUAUCCGGAUUUAUUGGGUUUAAAGGGUGCGUAGGCGGUAGGAUAAGUUAGAGGUGAAAUCUCGAGGCUCAACUUCGGCAUUGCCUCUGGUACUGUCGGGCUAGAGAGUAGUUGCGGUAGGCGGAAUGUAUGGUGUAGCGGUGAAAUGCUUAGAGAUCAUACAGAACACCGAUUGCGAAGGCAGCUUACUAAGCCACUUCUGACGUUGAGGCACGAAAGCGCGGGGAGCAAACAGGAUUAGAUACCCGUGUAGUC